rnacentral:rRNA from 1 species
CCGAUUCUGCCCUUAUGACUGGGCUACACACGUGCUACAAUGGACGAUACAAACGGUUGCCAAAUCGCGAGAGGGAGCUAAUCCCAUAAAGUCGUUCUCAGUUCGGAUUGUAGGCUGCAACUCGCCUACAUGAAGCCGGAAUCGCUAGUAAUCGCGGAUCAGCAUGCCGCGGUGAAUACGUUCCCGGGCCUUGUACACACCGCCCGUCACACCACGAGAGUUUGUAACACCCGAAGUCGGUGGGGUAACCUUUUGGAGCCAGCCGCCGAAGGUGGGAUAGAUGAUUGGGGUGAAGUCGUAACAAGGUAACCGUAUCGGAAGGUGCGGUUGGAUCACCUCCUA